rnacentral:rRNA from 1 species
UACGGAGGGUGCAAGCGUUAAUCGGAAUUACUGGGCGUAAAGGGCGCGUAGGCGGCCUUCUAAGUCGAACGUGAAAUCCCCGGGUUCAACCCGGGAACUGCGUCCGAGACUGGAAGGCUUGAAUCCGGGAGAGGGAUGUGGAAUUCCAGGUGUAGCGGUGAAAUGCGUAGAUAUCUGGAGGAACAUCGGUGGCGAAGGCGGCAUCCUGGACCGGUAUUGACGCUGGGGCGCGAAAGCCAGGGGAGCAAACGGG